rnacentral:rRNA from 2 species
ACGAACGCUGGCGGCGUGCCUAAUACAUGCAAGUCGAACGAACUCUGGUAUUGAUUGGUGCUUGCAUCAUGAUUUACAUUUGAGUGAGUGGCGAACUGGUGAGUAACACGUGGGAAACCUGCCCAGAAGCGGGGGAUAACACCUGGAAACAGAUGCUAAUACCGCAUAACAACUUGGACCGCAUGGUCCGAGCUUGAAAGAUGGCUUCGGCUAUCACUUUUGGAUGGUCCCGCGGCGUAUUAGCUAGAUGGUGGGGUAACGGCUCACCAUGGCAAUGAUACGUAGCCGACCUGAGAGGGUAAUCGGCCACAUUGGGACUGAGACACGGCCCAAACUCCUACGGGAGGCAGCAGUAGGGAAUCUUCCACAAUGGACGAAAGUCUGAUGGAGCAACGCCGCGUGAGUGAAGAAGGGUUUCGGCUCGUAAAACUCUGUUGUUAAAGAAGAACAUAUCUGAGAGUAACUGUUCAGGUAUUGACGGUAUUUAACCAGAAAGCCACGGCUAACUACGUGCCAGCAGCCGCGGUAAUACGUAGGUGGCAAGCGUUGUCCGGAUUUAUUGGGCGUAAAGCGAGCGCAGGCGGUUUUUUAAGUCUGAUGUGAAAGCCUUCGGCUCAACCGAAGAAGUGCAUCGGAAACUGGGAAACUUGAGUGCAGAAGAGGACAGUGGAACUCCAUGUGUAGCGGUGAAAUGCGUAGAUAUAUGGAAGAACACCAGUGGCGAAGGCGGCUGUCUGGUCUGUAACUGACGCUGAGGCUCGAAAGUAUGGGUAGCAAACAGGAUUAGAUACCCUGGUAGUCCAUACCGUAAACGAUGAAUGCUAAGUGUUGGAGGGUUUCCGCCCUUCAGUGCUGCAGCUAACGCAUUAAGCAUUCCGCCUGGGGAGUACGGCCGCAAGGCUGAAACUCAAAGGAAUUGACGGGGGCCCGCACAAGCGGUGGAGCAUGUGGUUUAAUUCGAAGCUACGCGAAGAACCUUACCAGGUCUUGACAUACUAUGCAAAUCUAAGAGAUUAGACGUUCCCUUCGGGGACAUGGAUACAGGUGGUGCAUGGUUGUCGUCAGCUCGUGUCGUGAGAUGUUGGGUUAAGUCCCGCAACGAGCGCAACCCUUAUUAUCAGUUGCCAGCAUUAAGUUGGGCACUCUGGUGAGACUGCCGGUGACAAACCGGAGGAAGGUGGGGAUGACGUCAAAUCAUCAUGCCCCUUAUGACCUGGGCUACACACGUGCUACAAUGGAUGGUACAACGAGUUGCGAACUCGCGAGAGUAAGCUAAUCUCUUAAAGCCAUUCUCAGUUCGGAUUGUAGGCUGCAACUCGCCUACAUGAAGUCGGAAUCGCUAGUAAUCGCGGAUCAGCAUGCCGCGGUGAAUACGUUCCCGGGCCUUGUACACACCGCCCGUCACACCAUGAGAGUUUGUAACACCCAAAGUCGGUGGGGUAACCUUUUAGGAACCAGCCGCCUAAGGUGGGACAGA